AGCGCGGUGCUAAUUACAGCACACGUUCUCCUCUGGCAGGAAGAGAAAAAGUCUUCUCAGGACGCACAUUAAUUUUAGAAGCUUAAAACUGUUUGGAAAAUCAGGCUCGGCGGAUGCCAGACAGAAGCAGGAGGCACAGGAAAUGACUGACUUGAGCAUCCCUCACCUAGGUCCCAACAGGACGGUCCGUGGGAAACUUCUGUGGUUAUCAACCAGCUUCCUCUGCCAAAGGAGAAAGCAGCGUGCCCCAGUGCUUCCAGCUGUUGCCAAGGCGACUUCUGCCUCCAUCCACGUGCCAGACCAAAGUCAGUGUCAGGACCAAGGACAACUGCCAUGGGACCUUCAUCCUCCACACAGCGACCUGUGUUACUGCAGAAGGACCUUCCCGUCUGGGCUAAAGGAUAUAUAGCUUUUUUUUUUUCUUUCUUUUUAAAAUUUUUCUUUAUUUUAUUUUACUUUUAAUUUUUUUAUUAUGUUUGUUAGCCAACAUAGUACAUCGUUAGCUUUUGAUGUAGCGUUCAACGAUUCAUUAGUUACAUAUACAACUUUUCAUCUUAAAACUGGGAAGAAUGAUGUAAGAAGACUACUUUGUUUCUCUCCAGAUCCCUGGGUAAGCUUUCAGUUUAACCGAUUGGUUUUAAAGCCCCUGAAUCUGUAUCAAUAGGCUAAGUGAUGUCAAUAAGACUCAAACAAAUAGAAGGGGCUCUCUUUAUUUUCAUUUGCAAUAUAAUAGCCCUACAAGAGUGGAUAUCACCUAUGUUAAUGUUUUCAUACAAAGAAAAGUUUUGUUCUUGAGUGUCCAGUUUCCCUCUACAUCAAUAAUACCAAUACUGAUACUAAUACCAUUAGUACCCCAUCAAUAAGAGUAAUGACAAUAGGAAUGCCUUUACAUUAUACGAAGCACCUUAAAUAUGUAAGUGGUUUGACCCUUUCAGAAAUCCAGUGACGUUAUUGAGGAAACAUUGUAACUCCAUUUUGUGAAUGAUGAAAUGAGGUCUGGAGAGGUUAAAUGACUUGCCCUAAGUGUAAUGGUCAAGACAUGGCAGGCUUUGACUUGCUAAAUCUGUACUUUUCCCACUAUGCCUCAAAACGUUUCCAUCUGUGCGCUUCCAGAAGCCACGGCUUUCUGUUAGCCAUUUGUAGUUACAUAUUAUUUUUGUUUAAGAUGAUUAUUUUUUCUGAUUACCAAAGUAACAAGUGGCCAUUGUAGAAAAUUUGAAAAUAUAGAGGAGUAUAAGGAAAAAAUAGUAACCACCCUACUUCUGGACUCCAGCCCUGCAGAAAUAACACAUAUUAACUCUUUUCUCUCUUCCUCUCUCUCUGUGUGUGUGUGUGUGUGUGUGUGAACGCCAUCCUUCUUUGUCCUAGGUUCUUUUAGACGGUUGGAUGUGACCAAUGAGGAUUUUGGAGAAUACCAGGUCACAAACCUGACCCAAUCUUGAGCCUCAUGGAACCACAGAAUCUGGAGGUGGAAGAGACAAAAGGUAAGAACUGCUUUUGCCACAUCCCAGGAAAAUGGGCCUUCCAACUUCUGUUCAACAGCCUCAGGUAGGGUCAGCCUUACUGCUCCCCUGUCACUGUCCCCUGACAAUGUCUCAGGCUGUCCUGAGGCUGCUUUCCGGGUGGGAAGGGCUCGGUGGAGAGUUCUGAGAAGAUGGAAUGUUCCCUCUUCAUUCCUCAGACUCUCCAAGUCCACUUCACAACCAAUUUCAAGUCACUUAACCUCUCUGAGCCUUGGUGUCUUCCUCUGUCACAUGGUGGCAUGAGCGUGUGAUCAACACCCCACACAGUGCCCGCCGAGAGCUCAUCCUCGAGAAGUGUGCACCUCUGUGAUUGGUAUUAUUAUCACGACUACUCUUCUCCCUUGGCCCAACCCCUUGGCUGUAGGCCUAGACUGGCCCCACUAGUGCUCAUGGGUCCCCAGACACACCAUGUACCUGCACGUCUCCCCCUGGUUUGGGCUCCUUCCUCCCUAGGGGAGGCUCCGGAACACCCUCCUGCCUAGCCUGGCACCCACACCAUGCCCCCUCCCACCCUCUCUGAGAACUGACUCACCUGACCAAACUCAGCUCCAACCCAUUGGCCCAGGGCACCCGGCCUCAGCGUGGGAGCCCACAGACCGGGGUGCAGGUCCAGCCUUCUUUUCACUUUUAGAGUACUUACGUACCGUCUGUGAGCCUCAGUGUUCUUACUCUUAAACCAGAGGAAAUGCUGUUGUGAGCAUGAAACGAGGUGAGCCCCUGCAGGUGUGUGUCGAGUAACAAGAGCGCUUGGAAUAUCGGCCCUCUACCCCCUUUAAACCCAUUUUCCCUGUUGGUCCUCACUGUGGCCUGGGAGGCAGGGAUCGCUGCAGGUGAGAACACCGAGCUUUGGGGGAGAAGUGACUGGCUCAAGGCCACACAGUUCCUCAGGGACUGGCGUCAGAGUCAAAUCCAGGACUUCAGACUUCAGAUCCUAUGUGUUACCUACCGUAGUAUCGGUAAAUAUCGGUAGAUACUAUCUGUAAUGUAAUGUACGGAAAGUUUUGUGACUGCUCUAAGAGAUCUCUACACUUUUUUGAAUUAAAUCAAUUAAAUCUAAUGCAGCAGCAGAAUACUAUGAUAUUCCGAUCUUGUGUUACACUAAUUAAUUUAUUUGCAUUUUAUGCUGGGUUUUGGAUGUCAGACUGGGAAGUCGACAAAACUUCUAUUAUAAAGAGAAAAAAAUAAAU
rnacentral:lncRNA from 1 species